AGUUCGCUUCGCUCGUGUGCCGUGAAAAUCCUUUUGUGCCGGUGUUCGGCACAAAAGAUUGCAAAGAAUAGCGGGAAAAGCU
rnacentral:sRNA from 2 species